rnacentral:lncRNA from 10 species
CAGGAACAAUAUCAGGCUCUGUGACUUGGGUGCCUUCUGGGUGUGUGGCGUGGUCUCGGUCUGACAAUCUCUAGAACAACCCUACGAGGUGGUAAUUAUUAUUCUCAUGCUGCAAGGGAUAUCUCCCACCUCCUAGGUGGACUCAGGUCUUGUGGGGCUUAAUGCUUUUAAAUUUGGGCUGCCUUUUGAAGGGAAAAGACUACAAAAUUAUGAAUACAAAAUGAGGUUAAGGUCUUGGGAGGGGCCCAUGCAAGCUGGGGGCUCUGCAGGUAAGCUUGUUUAGCUUCCCAGCAAAUCCACCUCUGAGCUUGCAAAUUACAAAGCUGGAAUUUGAACUCACAUCUGCUGGAUGCAAAGUCCGAGGUCUUCCUGUAGCAUGACCGUCUUCCUGUGUGAUGAGAAACAUCAGGCUGCCGAGGCCAAACAGUGGGUGCGUCACUUUCCAAUGAGGCAGGUGUGCGGGACAGGAAGUGGGAGGUUCUCCUUGCAGGGGAGCGGCUGCUGCCAACAUCCCAGCUGGUACCUGUCCCUGAGAAUGGUUUGGCAGGUGGGGGCCACUUGAAGUCUCUGCUCCUACACCCCGUCACCCCUCCCAGGCUGCUUUCAGAGGAGGGCAAAGGGUAUUCAUUCCAGCCUCCAAUUUCUUCCUCCCACUCCUCGAAAGCAUUUAAGUGAGGAAGGCAGGGAAAACGUAGAUGAUUCUGCUAUUGACAGGAGGCCUUUUUUUCCUGCUGGAAGUAAAAGGAGACACUCUAGCUGGGCAGCCAGCCCCACCCUCCAGGGCUCCAUCUGGCCUGGCUGAGGCUGGCCAGCCCCUGCUGUGCAUGGAGGGGUGCUGGGAAGCCUACCUUGCUUCACACUUUCCUCUUCCACACCCGGCCUGUGACUCAUGCCUGAAACGCCUCCGUUCAAGCAAUUCUUCCUUUUAUUGUGAAGCACUGCUCUCUUCCGGCUCCUCCCCUAAGUCACCACGCAGGGGAGAUUUAAGGGAGAGGUUAUUUCCCCACCGUGUUCAGGGACAACCCUGUGAUCAUGGUUUUGGUCACAUAGCUUCCAAGUGAGUGUUGUGCAAACAUUUGCUAGGAUCUCUCGGGGAGCCUGUUAGAAAAGAAACUCCUGAGCCUGCUCCAGAGCUUCUGUUCAGCAGGCCUGAGGUGGGACCAUACACCUGUCUUUUCAGCAAGCCCCCCCCCACCUCUGAGGAUGCACCCCAAAGCUAGAGAAUUCCUGCUCUGAGCCAUCUCUGAAAGCACCAAGAGCCAGCUCACGGAGGAGAUGCCAGCUCACGGAGGAAAAUCUGGAAGGUGUUGAAGCAUAGACGCUGGAACAUAAAAUGACUCAUGAUCUCACUGGGAGAAGGGCUGGGAACAUCGUGGGCUCUCUUCUCCCCGCGCUCCUCUCUCCGGGUCUCUGUUUCCCUCAUUCCACGAUGUUUAGUCAGGAAGAUUCCUGCAGCUGCUGAGUUAGUACUUUUAAGAAAGUACUGGAUUCCCUCUCACAAUGGGACUUUGAUUUUUUUAAGAAAAAGGUUUCAUAAGUUUUCAAAUAACCUGGAGCAGUUGAGCAAACUUAAUGUGCAGCGUGGUCCCUGCUGGCUGGGUUUGAGGGGCUGGGUCUCUCUGAGUGGAUGCUGGUGAGGUGCAGAGGAAGAAGAAAAGGUGCCUGAGGGCCUGUGUGGAAGGCCUGUCACACAGCACAUCCUGGGAAAUCUGUCCAGGAAGCAGCCAGGCGGGCAUCAGCCAGGCGGGCAUCAGCAUCUUCACUGUGCAGAUGAGAAACUGAGGCCGCAGAGGUGAAGGGACAUGCCCAGGAUCACUAAGGUGAUCCCUAGAAACACAGCCAGUGGCCCGGAAGCUGCACUGUUUUGUGCACCGCAGGGAUGGGCACAGAUGGGGCUGCCUGCCCUCCUCCUGGAAGGAGGGAGAACCCAGUCUGGCCUGGAGUGGUCAAGAGCUAACUCUAGACUCAGCAAGACCUACUUCUCUCUCCUGCCCCUACUUCCUUGCUGCUGACCUGGGCAAGUCGCUGAAGCCUCUCCGUGCCUCAGUCUGCUCGUGCGUAAGAUGGGCACAGGGCACACUGCCUACUUGAUUGGGCUCAACCACGUGCAGUAAGUAGCUGGUGUCUGGCAAGAGCCCUCAGGAAACAGUAACCCCAUUAAUUCAAAUGCACGUGCCUGGAACAGGCUCUGGGGGGCCAGCCCGGGAGUCCCACUCCAUGAUGGCCACCCUGGGGCCUGGCAGGCUGGGCUGGCAUCCCAGGCCCACCGGAUACUGGCUGUGCACCCCGGCCAGGCCACACAUCUCUGAGCCUCACUUUCCCGUGUGUGAGAUGAGGCUAGAAGCUGCUUUCUCUUGCGUGUGUGGGGAUUGGCGGUGACAACACGGCCAGGAGCCCAGGCCCAGCCUACGCGAGCAGCCUCGCUCCAGGCCACACGCCCCACUCCUGACAGCUCUGUGCAGCGAGUUCGUGCGCGAGCGGGUGGCUGUCUGCCAGGCGAGGGGCGCGGGUGCCCAAGAGGGCUUCACUGCUUCUGGAAAGAUCACAAGGAAAAACCACCUCCGCGGCGGGACGCUACCCGCGGGCCGCUGCGGUCCCGCUCGCGGCCGGCAGGGGGCAGGAUGUCCCCGCGAGUCGCCCGUGUCUUCGGGUGUCCUCAGGUCACCCCGCACCGCUCGCAGCCUCCGCGCCUAGUUAAAGGGCGACGCACUCAUUUCUGCAAAGAAGGAGCCCAGCGGCCCCUCCCCGGGGAACUCUUUCCAUCAACUCGGGGCCUAAUAAUUUACAUUUAAUUUGUUAGCGGUUUAAUGUUUAAUUUUAAAAGCGAGAUGAUUCAUUACCAUAUUAAUAAAUAAUAACAUUUAUUAUUCUCCUAAUGAGUGUCCAAAAUACAGAAGCAAUUACAUGUUUUAUAUAUUUUCUCGUAAUUUGAGACACCAGAGCGUUAAUUACAGAGACUCACGCGUGGACCCCAUUCUGAUCCAGGGUCCUGAUCCUGCCUUUGUUUCGGUCUCUGAACCAGCCGCCCUCCGGGGCUUCUGCAAUUCCCUCAAUUAGAGGAGAGGAAGUCGUACGUGACGAAGCUGGGGCUCUCACAGAACCCCGGCGCCCCAGACCCAGGAGCUGCAAGACCUCAGCUCCCCGUGCCCACACUCGGAGACCCAGGCCCCUCCCAGUCCCCCGUCUCCUCUGUGCAGGGUUCUUCAGGAAGAAUCGGAAAGAGGCCCCCCGACCCACAACCAGCCUCGCAUUCCCUCCUCCCGCAGGGAUCCAUUGAGCUGGGGGGUGGGACUAUCCUCACUUCACAGAUGGGGAAACUGAGUCCUGGAGAGAGACGCUCCGGUGUCCUCAGCUGGUGAGGGGCAGAUCCGGGAGCCACGUCCCACGCAGUCGGUUGGCCCCAAGCUUGGUUCCUGCCUCAACCCCAGCGCAGGUUGCAGCAGGCCCGCGUAGGAGGGCGGCCUGGGUCUGGACAGAUCCACAGCCGGCCAACGCCCCUGGCUAGCUCUCUAUGGCUUUGCUUCUUCUCUUGACUUGCCAAGUUCUUCUUGUUCAUUGUAGAAAAUGUGGAAGGUGAGGCCGGGAGCGGUGGCUCACGCCUGUAAUCCUAGCACUUUGGGAGGCCGAGGCGGGCAGAUUGCCUGAGCUCAGGAGUUCGAGACCAGCCUGGGCAACAUGGUGAAACACGUCUCUACUAAAAAAAAAAAAAAAAAAAAAAAAAAAAUUUGCUGGGCGUGACGGCAGGCGCCUGUAGUCCCAGUGGGAGUUUGGGGAGGCUGAGGCAGGAGAAUCACUUGAACCCGGGAAGCAGAGAUUGCAGUGAGCCGAGAUCGUGCCACUGCACUCCAAUCUAGCGACAGAGCAAGACUCCGUCUCAAAAAAAAAAAAAAAAAAAAAAGUGGAAGGUGAAAAAAACACGGAGAGACAGCAAAGCUGGCAAUGACAUAGCUCCAAAAAUCCCACUUCUCAGAUAAGAUGCAGGCAGUAAGGGCCUGGAGUUUUAUGUAUCCUGAUGUUUGAAAGGGCUUGGACAGGGCACUUCCUCCCUCCAUAGCUCUUCUGUCCUUAGGAAUCCCUCCCUUCUGGAGGGGAAGGGUGGGGGUUUUCCUGUUUGGUCCCCAGGGAAGGAAGUUCAGAGACAGAGGCCCACUCAGGGCCACCCCCUGGCCUGCACCCCUGAAAUGCAAUUUGGAUAAUAUGGAAAAUUACUAGGAAGAAAAAACGCUAUAAUCCCCCCACCUAGAGAUAACCAGGCGUUCUGGUAUAUACCUAUUGAGGACUUUUUUCCCAAGCAAAUACUCAGAAAGAGACUUCCUCCCAAUAGGCAUGAGAUCUUACUCCACGUGCAGUUUGUCUUAUCUUGAUUUUUUUCCAGUAAUCUUUUAAGAGUUUCCCAUGCCAUGUAGUCAUUCUUCAAAAACCCACUUUGAACAGCUGCGUAAUAUUCCGCUGUGGAGGAGUGCCCUGCAGUGUAGAGAAAUGAGUUAUUUACGCUGAAGUCUGUUAUUACAUGGACAUCUUCCCUUUUCUGACCCUGCAAUGACCACACUCAUAGGUGAGUCUCUCUGGAAAUCCUUGACUACCUCCUUAGGGUCCAUUCUUAGAAGUGGAAUUACUGGGUUAGAGGGCAUGAGUGCCUUGAGGGCGGCUGUCUCCCUCUACCUGCAUGCCUGCCAGGGCAAACCCGUGCAUGCUCCCAGGACAGGCCUGGCAGGGCGUGUCUCCCUGCUGCACCCUUGGUACCCUUGGCAGGGCUAACAUUAUCCUCUAAACCAGGUCUUUGCAGCACUUACCCUUUUCAAGGUGCUACUGUACCUCUCCUUUAAGGAG